CCCGGAACCAGGCGCCCGCCGGAGGGACCAACCAAACUCUUUUCUGUAGCCUUCGGGCGUUAUUUCUUACAGCUCUGAGCAAAAAUUCAAAAUGAAUCAAAACUUUCAACAACGGAUCUCUUGGUUCUGGCAUCGAUGAAGAACGCAGCGAAAUGCGAUAAGUAAUGUGAAUUGCAGAAUUCAGUGAAUCAUCGAAUCUUUGAACGCACAUUGCGCCCGCCAGUAUUCUGGCGGGCAUGCCUGUCCGAGCGUCAUUUCAACCCUCGAACCCCCUAGGGGGUCCGGCGUUGGGGAUCGGGAACCCCUAAGACGGGAUCCCGGCCCCGAAAUACAGUGGCGGUCUCGCCGCAGCCUCUCCUGCGCAGUAGUUUGCACAACUCGCACCGGGAGCGCGGCGCGUCCACGUCCGUAAAACACCCAACUUCUGAAAUGUUGACCUCGGAUCAGGUAGGAAUACCCGCUGAACUUAA
rnacentral:rRNA from 1 species